rnacentral:lncRNA from 1 species
CUCUAUCCCUCGCCCGGGGCCGCCCUCCCUGCCGCUCCCUUAGGGGCUCUGCGACACCCGCCUCCGGGGGCGCCCCGCCCCCCGCCGCGCGUGCCUGGUUACGACAUGGCGCUAACGGCCCCUCCGGCCCGCCGAGCUCUGUUUUCUGCGGCGGCUUCGCUACUGCUGCUGGGGGCGGCGGCAGGAAGCUCUCAUUUCUUGGAUAAGACUCAACUCACAAAGAAAGGAGAUGCACACUUGAAACAAGAAGGUAUAAUUAGAAUGCACAACUCAGUGGCUCUCUCUGAACCCAUGAAAAUAACAUCUAUCCCAGAUGUUCCACAAACACCUCAUCAAAUACUUGGAAAAGAAAACUCCACUGGCUUAAUUCUUAAAUGCUUGACUGAAAAGUUGUUAAAGGAAGGAAUAAAUGAUCCAGAAUAUCAGUGGGUUGGUCCCGUGGGCUUGAUAACUAAAGACUCAGAAGGACUUGUUUUAACAGAAGGUUAUCUGGAGAUCUAUAAUAUUCACGCAAGUGACACUGGAAGUUAUACCUGUAAAGUUACCUAUGUACAUAAUGACAAACAUAUGAUGACAGAAGUGCGUUUUAUGAUCUAUGAUCCCUGUGAAAGUUCCGACUGUGAAAAUUCCUUCAACUGUAUCAAAAAGGUGGAAUUAUUCAUUAGCAAUAUGAAAAUAUAUUUUUAGAAAUUUGAUCCAUGUUUACAUUUCUGUCCUCGUGUCAUUGUAUUAAAAGCCUGUAUAGUUAAGGAACUUUGCAUGCAAGAAUAAAUGUGAUAGAAAACCGUAUUGUCA